rnacentral:miRNA from 1 species
UAUGUCCCAUCCCUCCAUCA